AUACGGAGGGUGCAAGCGUUACUCGGAAUCACUGGGCGUAAAGCGCGCGCAGGCGGCUUGAUAAGUUGGAUGUGAAAGCCUACGGCUCAACCGUAGAACUGCAUCCAAAACUGUCAGGCUAGAGUGUGGGAGAGGAAGAUGGAAUUAGUUGUGUAGGGGUAAGAUCCGUAGAGAUAACUAGGAAUACCAAAAGCGAAGGCAAUCUUCUGGAACACUACUGACGCUGAGGCGCGAAGGCGUGGGGAGCAAACAGGAUUAGAAACCCGAGUAGUCC
rnacentral:rRNA from 1 species